rnacentral:lncRNA from 1 species
CGUGAGGGUGAGGAUAUGGAAUGUAUGGAGAAUACACGACCGGUGGAGGAGGAGAGUUGUAGUAAUAAGGUGAACGAGGCUUUGGAGAUGGUGGAGGUGGAGAUUGGAGGAAGAGAGUUGUAGUAGUAGUAGGGUGAAUGAGGCUUAGGAGAUGGUGGAGGUAGAGAUUUAUAGUAUUAAGAUGUUUGAGAAUAAAUACGUAUGUUGAAGAUCUAAUUUAUUAUGUUAUUAAUUUGUAAAAAAUUAUUCUUUAUUUUAUUAUCAUAUUCAUUAUUAAAUUGUUAAUUUGAUAAGUCAUUGAUUAAAAUUAGAUGUUUGUUAUCAUGAUAGAGAUUAUGAUAAUGAGAAACAAAUUUUUUAUAAUUUUAAUUCAAAUUAUUCUUGAUAGUAUGAUUAUCGUGAAUAGGACAUCAAUAAUCAUGAUAGAUUAAUAUAUAUGUAAUGAUCUUUAUUGAAUAAAGAUUAAUAAAUUUUUAUUGAAUAAUGAUCUUUAACACGAGAUUAUCAUAGUAAUUAAUAAGUUAUUGGUAUAUUUUAAUUUCGGAUGCCUAAUGUCUUAGAACACUAGUUGAAUGAAUAUUAGAUAUGAUUAAAUACUUGUAAAAUUAAUGAUUAAUCAAGAAGGAAUCCAUCAAUUCUAGGUAAUGAGUUUGAGUUCUAUUUUAGAAUUAAGACAUUGACUAAGGCAAUUGAAUGAAAGAAGAAAAUAGUUUCUUAAGUCAUUCAUGUGUUAGCUUAUUAGAGUUUGACAAUAAUACUAUACUCUAGAGUUAACCUAUGAUGGAAGCAAAUAUUAUAUUCUUCUUCUAUUGGUUCUCGAAGGGAAAAAGAUUUUGUUUCAGGUUAUCCGGACUUUAAGGAGUGUUGUUAAACGCCUAACUUGAUUAAUAAAUUAAUUAUGAUUAAUUUAUUAUCAAUUUAGUAUUGAACCUACAAGGUCACACACAAACGAGUAUUUCAAUAUUUACAAAAGAAAAUAAUUUAUUUUGAUAAUUAAAUUAGAGAAUUUAAUUUAAUCAAAUAAAUAUUUUAGUGAAAUAUUAUUAUAUUUUUUGCUAGGACCAAUAAUAUAAUUAAUAUAUAAAAAGGGAAUAUUAUUUUAUAAUUGUGAAGAUGUCCAUAAAAUAAGAAUAAUAUUCAAUUGCUAUGUAUCAAGGAUGUGAUUAAUUAUUGUAAUUAGUUAUGUGAUUAAUUAUGAAUUAUCUUUAUCUUAAAUCAGUAAGCUUCUUAAAAUAAAAUAUAUGAGAUAAUAUUUUUUUUAUAAAGACAAAUAUAAAUGAAAUUAUUUUAUAUAUUUUCUUUUUUUUCUCACCCAAAUCCAUAUCUCUUUAAUAUUAUGAAUAAAAGUAUCUAUAUGAGGCAAAGCGUACUAAAUAAAGACUGAAAAAGGUUCAAGUCUAGUUUUAGACGUGAAAAGUAGAAAAAAAAUUAUUCUUUAGAGUUUCAUCCAUCAAAGAAUUUGAUAAUAAAGAUUGACCUGAGUAUAGAUACAAGUAGAGUUUUUAGACUAUUAAAAAAAAUGUGUUGCUUCAAAACCUACAUUUUGAUGCAUUAAUUUAUUAUUUAUUUAUUUAUUAUUAUUGUAUAUUUUGAAUAUAAAAUAAAUCCUAAUUUUUUUCCUACAAUUAUUAGAAACAUUUUUAUGUAACUAUCAUACUACACACACGAGGAUAUGAGGAUAUGGUGAAUGAGGUGGUGGAAACUUAUAAUAGUAAGUUGGAAGAGAUGGUGGAGGAGAAGAUUUGUAGGAAUAAGGUAUUGGACGACUUCAUUUUGUGGAAAGAGUCAUGAUUUAAUUUGUUUUUCCUCUCCUUCUCUUAAAAUUUAGUUAUGCCCGUAUAUCUUAUUGAAAACCACAUUUUUUUAGUCUUUCUGGACUGGAUACCCCUACCCCUGGCCAUGAUCAUAAUUCAUAACUAUUAUAUAUAUAUUACACGUAUUUUAUUUGUAACAAAUGGUAUAUCGAUGAGUUUUCUGAAUGUUUGAUCACAUGGAAAAUUUCUGAACGCGUCCUAGAGACUGAAACAGUUUUAUUUGCGCAAUAUAGAGUGUCGGUUUACUAAAAGAACGCACAGAUAGAUAUAUAUCUAUUCCAAAAUGAAGCGUAUGUAUACACGGAAUGAAAAAUGAUUAGUAAUAAUAAAUUAAUUUUACGAAAAUUUAUAAUUCUUUUAUUUUUUAUCUCUCUUAGUCGUUAAAAAGAUUAUGUAAAAUAUUGUAUGAGGACAGUUUCUUAAUAGAAACAUUCUAAUGCAUGUGAUACGUACGGAAUUAUUAUAAUUACAGUUGCACGAAGUAUAUUAUUAAUUAAUAUUCUCCUGUUAACAACCUUUUUUAUUGAGUAGUGUUUUUUCAUUGGAGGAAAUCCUUAAAUAUAUUUUUGGUGAAUCUAAGUUUACUUAAGCGGUACAUUAAUUAGAAAAAAAUAUUUUUUCCCCUAUUUUGUUUAUAUAAGUAAAAAAGUGAGAAUUAUAUGAACGUGCGAAGUGUGUGUAUGAGAUAAUAUUUGUUUUACAUAAUAUACCCUAAAUCAUAAAAGAAGCUUCACUGUGUAACUUAAAUUAAAAUUUGUAUAUCUCCCCCAUGUGCGUCUGACUACUGUUACCAUGCAUAUUCUAAUUAAGAACCCUGUUAGUGCCUUUCUUCUUUUUAUCCUCUUUCCUUCAUGAUCACCAUUGUUAAAUGGCAGUCAAUUCCAUGUACGUAUUGCAUCUCUGAAUUCAAGUCUAGCUGUCUCAUCGAGUUUAAUUUGUGAUAAUUGGUCUCAAGUAAAAAAGACCACUAAUUUGAUCAUUAAAUAUAUAUAUAUAUAUAUAUAUAUAUAUAUAGACAUAUAUAUAUAUAUAUAUAUAUAUAUAUAUAUAUAUAUAUAUAUAUAUAUAUAUAUAUAUAUAUAUAUAUAUAUAUAUAUAUAUAUAUAUAUAUAUAUAUAUAUAUAUAUUGAACAAUGCUAAUUAAAUACCAUAUAUAGUCAGAAAUAGAUCAGUGGGGGGUGCAUGUAUGUUAAGUUAGAAAGAGAUAAGAUCGUGGUUGUGGCAUAUAGACGUGCAUGGGGUGGUGUGGCUUAUAUGAUAUGAGAAAAUCAAGUAAUUGCAGGCAUUUUUUUUAAAAAAUAAAAUGACUUCAUUAAUCGUCUCCAACAUCAGUUAUAUAUAUUGACAUGUUUUUUAAAAUAAUCAAAACUGUCUCGCUCCCAAAUCCCUCUCACUUCUUUUCUUCCCUCUCACUGGCUUAGGGAUUUUCACUUUCGAAAAACAUGACUUAGGCCAUAAUUGAAGCCAUUAGACAGUAAUAUAUCAUAUGAGCAGGGGCCAAUCCAAACUCAAAUGGCUGUGAGGACCGAUAAUAAAAAAUAAAAUUCAUCUAACACAUCAUAAAAAUAUAUAUUCAUAAAUUAAUGUUUUAAAAUGUUAAUUACAAUAAUAAUCUAUUAAAACACGGGACCUUAUUCUUAUAUGUACUAAAUUUUUUAUCAAUUCUUCAAUGUAUAUUAACAAAAUGUGAAUCAAGAAUCCAUCUUUCAUCUUCUUUAAUAAUUAUAGAUUAACAAAAUUUGAGAAAAAUAAAACCUACUAUAUAAUAAGUAGAAUUAGUCAAAUAUAAUAUUCGGAUAAGAUAUUUUACAAAAAAAGAAAUAAAAUUACUAUUGAUUUUAUAAUUUAAAAUUACAGAAAAUAAAAAUUGAUGGUAUAAUAACAAAAAUUGUUAAAAAAUAAUAUUUAAAUAUUUUUUUUAAAAAAAGACAAAAUUGCUAUUGAUUUUAUAGUUUGAAAAAAAAGAGAUAAAAACAAUUAUAUAAAUUGAUGGAUUUGAAUCCAUCCAUUUUUUUUUAUGGAUAAAUUAGAUGAAUUUAUUGUGGAUGAAUUAAUUGGAUAAUGGAUAAAUGAAUUCAUUUGUCACCACUAGCCUGGGACCUAGUCAUGUCCACCAUAGUGGAAAAGUUAUUUUGACCAUUGGAUUUAAAUUUUUCUUGAGAUAAGUGCAGGCUUAUCUUAAGACAAGUUACACUGGAUUAUUAUUAUUAUUAUUAUUAUUAUUAUUAUUAUUUUCCUUAAAAAGUGUUAUUCUUUCCUGUUCUAGUUUAUCGCCCCUUUCUUUCUCUCUCCGACUCUCCCUUCCAUCUACUUAUUCUCCUCCUCCCCUUUUUCAAAAUGUCAUGCUUCUUCGGUGACCUCAACAACUUCUUUGUCAUCAAGCUCCUCGUCGGACACGUAGUUAGCUAUGGUAGGAUUUGAAUACGAAAGAAUGGGCUUCAACGUCCACAAAAUGCUGAUUGGUGCGAUUGUUACUUUAAUGCAAGUGUAGGUAGGUUUGGAGCUUUGAUGUAGGUUUGGGAUAUGUGUGUGUGUGUGGAAAGAAACACGACCUAAAUUUAGGGGAUAUGUAGAUUAUUAUGCUUUUUUAUGCAAAUAUUGACAAAUUUAUUGCAAACAACACAAAAAGAUAUAUUAAAAGAAUUUCACAAUAAUUUGAAUGAAAUCAUACACAAUCAACCAUAUUAAUCUACAAAGAAACAAAUAAGAAAGCUCUAAAAGCAGCCUGAAUUGAUAUCAACAUUUCUAAUCUUGCUUCCUUGUCUUGAAUCUUUUUGAUUUGUCGCUUCCUUGAACUUAGUAAGAACAACACUUGAAAAAUGGCCACCAAAUAAAUAGAAGCAACCUCAUAUGAGUCAUGAAGAUCGUAGCUUAGAGGUGAUACACUCAGACUCUUAUUCAAAGAACUUGUAUAACAAAUUAUAUGCUUAACUCUGCUCCAAAUGGAACGGAAAUUUAUUCCACAAUGAAUACUAGAACCUGAAAUAAAAUAAAAGUUUUCAAUACUUCUCAGAGUUUAUAAAUGCAUAUAAAAUAGACAUUUAUCUANNNNNNNNNNNNNNNNNNNNNNNNNNNNNNNNNNNNNNNNNNNNNNNNNNNNNNNNNNNNNNNNNNNNNNNNNNNNNNNNNNNNNNNNNNNNNNNNNNNNNNNNNNNNNNNNNNNNNNNNNNNNNNNNNNNNNNNNNNNNNNNNNNNNNNNNNNNNNNNNNNNNNNNNNNNNNNNNNNNNNNNNNNNNNNNNNNNNNNNNNNNNNNNNNNNNNNNNNNNNNNNNNNNNNNNNNNNNNNNNNNNNNNNNNNNNNNNNNNNNNNNNNNNNNNNNNNNNNNNNNNNNNNNNNNNNNNNNNNNNNNNNNNNNNNNNNNNNNNNNNNNNNNNNNNNNUGGUGAUGGUGAUGGUGGCGGGGGAGAUUUAUAGUAAUAUGGAGGAGGUGAUGGUGAUGGUGGAGGAGGGCUCUUGUAGUAAUAAGAAGGUGGGGGAGGAGAUUUGUAAUAGUAUGUUGGUGGUGGUGGAGGUGGUGACUUAUAGUAGUAAGGAGGGUGUGGGUGCGGUGAGGGUGAAGGGGGUGGGGGAGAGUUGUAAUAAUAUGGUUUGUGAUAAGGAGUAGGGGAAGGCUUGGGCUUGGGCUUUUCGCAAUCAUAUGACUUUUCAGGAGCAUAAGCAAAUGGCUUAGCCUUGAGCACAACUUCAUACUUAUCCUUGGACUUCACCUUCAAUUUGGUUCCCUCAUUAAGCUUGGUGGGUAUGUUACAGCGUGAAUCCUUAGGAGGAGCAUGGAGUUUAGCCUUGCAGACUGUGGCUCCAUAUUUCACAUAGUCAAAGCCUUCAACAGUGAUGCUGUACUUUCCAUUGCUCUUAGUUUUACCAUAAGCUUUUAUGGUCUUGCUCCCAACUUCACAAGUCACUUCGACCGUGGCACCUAAUUAACGAUGCCAUUAAAUGUGUGGAUCGCACAUGUUAUUGACAAAUCAAUCUAACAUAUAAAACCAUGACAUUAUUGUUUUCUUUAAUUUUAACGGAAGGAAAUGUUUUGUGAACACAAAAUGGGAUAAUAAAGUUAUUUCUUAUAACAUUAUGAUGUGUUUUUAAAACACGUGUACGAAAAAAAAGAAGCAUGUGUUACAUUAAUAAAUCUUUAUUUUUAAAGGUUUAAAUAAUAUAAAUAAAAUUAAAAUAGUUAACCUAUCCUAGCUUUUUCAUAUUUUGAUUGUUGGCUUCAUUGAUUACAUAAGAAAUAGUCGAUUCUAAACAAUAUUUUCUAUUUUCCAACAAAAAUUGUAUUUUUUUUUAUUGAAAUUCCAACUAAAGUCCUCUUCAAAAAAAAAUUGACAACUUUCUGUUUGAAAAGGGUAAUAUAGGUACUUUAAAAAGUAGUAUAUGUUUAGGUUGGUCAUUUGUUUAAUUAGUUAGCAUAGAUCAAGAUUCUCAAAAAUAUUUUUUUGUUAAAAUAUUUUCUCAAAUUGAAACAUGUUUUAUUUCUUAAUUGAAAUGAUAAUUACAAAAAAAAACUAGUUGACUAAAUAAAAAAAGGAGAAAUUAUAACUGUAAAAUUAUUUUAUAUUAGUUUUUUUUACAAAUUUUAUAGAGAAAAGAAAAAAAUGAGAAAAUAUCAAAUAAUUAAAUGAUUUAAUAGAAAAAAUAAAAAAAUAUGACUAAAAUACUAUAAGAAUAUUAUAUUGUAUUAAAAACAACUGUUUAUGUAUAAAUGCAGUUGAACUUCUCUAGACACAACAACACACACAUAACAAUAUCGAUGUAAUUAUACAAAUAAAAAUAUGAGCUUGAAAAAGAAAAAUUAAUUAAAGAAACAUAUAUGGCAGCCAAUGUCCCAAAUUAAAAUUUUGAGAAAAACAAAAGUACAGAUUAAUAUUACCAAAAAGUAACAUUUUUGAAGUAUUCAUAAUAUUAUUAUUGUGAAUGUAUUAGAAUGAAAUAGUAAAAAAAUAAAAGUAAUGUAGGUACCUUUGAGGUGUUUCUUGUUGUGCGACUUUUGGGGGUAUUUCCAGUCAUAACAUCUAUAACAAUAGACUUUACCCACAAUCUUAACAAUCAAUGGGUGAUGAUAUGGGUGAGGGUGAGGAUAUGGAGUGUAUGGAGGAGGCUUAGGAGAUGGUGGAGGCAGAGAUUUAUAGUAGUAAGGCACAUGAGGAGGAUACGGUGAAGGAGGAGGUGGAGACUUAUAAUAGUAAGGUGGAGGAGGUGAAGGAGAUGGUGGAGGAGGAGAUUUGUAGUAGUAAGGUGGUGGAGGAGAUGGUGAAGGAGGAGGCGGAGACUUGUAGUAAUAUGGAGGAGGGGGUGAGGGAGAUGGAGGAGGAGGAGAUUUGUAGUAGUAUGGUGUUGGAGCUGGGUGACUUCUCAGGUGGGGGAGGAGACUUGUAGUAGUAUGGUGGUGGUGGUGAUGGUGAAGGUGGUGGUGGGGACUUGUAGUAGUAAGGAGGUGGAGGUGAUGGAGAGGUGGUGGCGGGAAUUUAUAGUAGUAAGGAGGG